rnacentral:lncRNA from 1 species
GGAAUUAGAAGAGCUGACUCAGCAGGAAGGCCUGUUUGAAAAGCAUCAGGUAAAGACACAACUUCUGACGGCAACACAGCAAGUCUUCCCAUUGUGAUAAGAGCAUGGGCGCUCCCAGGGAGCCACAGGACUGACUGGAGAAGAUGAAGCUCGACUUGGAAUUUGGUGCUGAUCCACGGGAUGCAGAGGAUCAGCAGUGCUUAUCCAGUGUGGUCGGGAUAUUUAAUGGAAAGGUUUUCUCUAAUAAUGCAUUGAAAUCCUAUACAUGUGACUGUUUUUGGGAAACAACAAUUUGUUGCGUAAAUUGCGGGUAUACAGCCCAAAGAAUUUUUAAAAACCAAACAUACCCAUAUAAUCAGCACCUGGGUCAAGAAACAGAACAUCCCCAGCUCCCUGGAAGCAUUUGUUAUGCCUCUUUCCUGUCUUUAACAGUGACCCUCCUGAUUUCUCUGAAAUUUGCAUAUUUUUAAACUGUAUAUAAAUAAAAUUAUGCAUGUGUACUGUC